GGCGGCGUGCUUAACACAUGCAAGUCGAGCGGAAAGGGCCUUCGGGGUACUCGAGCGGCGAACGGGUGAGUAACACGUGAGUAACCUGCCCCAGACUUUGGGAUAACCCUCGGAAACGGGGGCUAAUACCGGAUAUGACCUCUUGCCGCAUGGUGGGUGGUGGAAAGUUUUUCGGUUUGGGAUGGACUCGCGGCCUAUCAGCUUGUUGGUGGGGUAAUGGCCUACCAAGGCGACGACGGGUAGCCGGCCUGAGAGGGCGACCGGCCACACUGGGACUGAGACACGGCCCAGACUCCUACGGGAGGCAGCAGUGGGGAAUAUUGCACAAUGGGCGGAAGCCUGAUGCAGCGACGCCGCGUGAGGGAUGACGGCCUUCGGGUUGUAAACCUCUUUCAGCAGGGACGAAGCGUAAGUGACGGUACCUGCAGAAGAAGCGCCGGCCAACUACGUGCCAGCAGCCGCGGUAAGACGUAGGGCGCGAGCGUUGUCCGGAUUUAUUGGGCGUAAAGAGCUCGUAGGCGGCUUGUCGCGUCGAAUGUGAAAACCCGAGGCUCAACUUCGGGCUUGCAUUCGAUACGGGCAGGCCAGAGUUCGGUAGGGGAGACUGGAAUUCCUGGUGUAGCGGUGAAAUGCGCAGAUAUCAGGAGGAACACCGGUGGCGAAGGCGGGUCUCUGGGCCGAUACUGACGCUGAGGAGCGAAAGCGUGGGGAGCGAACAGGAUUAGAUACCCUGGUAGUCCACGCUGUAAACGUUGGGCGCUAGGUGUGGGGGACCUCUCCGGUUCUCUGCGCCGCAGCUAACGCAUUAAGCGCCCCGCCUGGGGAGUACGGCCGC
rnacentral:rRNA from 1 species